AUUGAACGCUGGCGGCAUGCCUUACACAUGCAAGUCGAACGGCAGCACGGGAGCAAUCCUGGUGGCGAGUGGCGAACGGGUGAGUAAUACAUCGGAACGUGCCCAGUAGUGGGGGAUAACCCGGCGAAAGCCGGCCUAAUACCGCAUACGACCUACGGGUGAAAGCGGGGGAUCGCAAGACCUCGCGCUAUCGGAGCGCCCGAUGUCAGAUUAGCUAGUUGGUGGGGUAAAGGCCUACCAAGGCGACGAUCUGUAGCUGGUCUGAGAGGACGACCAGCCACACUGGGACUGAGACACGGCCCAGACUCCUACGGGAGGCAGCAGUGGGGAAUUUUGAACAAUGGGCGCAAGCCUGAUCCAGCCACGCCGCGUGCGGGAAGAAGGCCUUCGGGUUGUAAACCGCUGUUAUCAGGGAAGAAACACUCCGGGCUAAUACCACGAAGUAAUGACGGUACCUGAAGAAUAAGCACCGGCUAACUACGUG
rnacentral:rRNA from 1 species